GAUUAACGCUAGCGGCAGGCCUAAUACAUGCAAGUCGAACGGGAUUCAAAGUAGCAAUAUUUUGAUGAGAGUGGCGCACGGGUGAGUAACACGUAUGCAAUUUACCUUUAACUGGGGGAUAGCCCUCCGAAAGGAGGAUUAAUACCGCAUAAUAUAUUGAAAUGGCAUCAUUUUAAUAUUAAACCUACGGGGGUUAAAGAUGAGCAUGCAUCCGAUUAGCUAGUUGGUGUGGUAACGGCUCACCAAGGCAACGAUCGGUAGGGGGUCUGAGAGGAUGAUCCCCCACACUGGUACUGAGACACGGACCAGACUCCUACGGGAGGCAGCAGUAAGGAAUAUUGGACAAUGGAGGCAACUCUGAUCCAGCCAUGCCGCGUGAAGGAUUAAGGCCCUAUGGGUUGUAAACUUCUUUUAGACGGGACAAAACCCCUUUACGUGUAAAGGGUUGAUGGUACUGUCAGAAUAAGCAUCGGCUAACUUCGUGCCAGCAGCCGCGGUAAAUGACGUC
rnacentral:rRNA from 1 species